GAAUCUUCCACAAUGGGCGAAAGCCUGAUGGAGCAACGCCGCGUGAGUGAAGAAGGUUUUCGGAUCGUAAAACUCUGUUGUAAGGGAAGAACAAGUACAGUAGUAACUGGCUGUACCUUGACGGUACCUUAUUAGAAAGCCACGGCUAACUACGUGCCAGCCGCCGCGGUAAUACGUAGGUGGCAAGCGUUGUCCGGAAUUAUUGGGCGUAAAGCGCGCGCAGGCGGUUCUUUAAGUCUGAUGUGAAAGCCCACGGCUCAACCGUGGAGGGUCAUUGGAAACUGGAGAACUUGAGUACAGAAGAGGAAAGCGGAAUUCCACGUGUAGCGGUGAAAUGCGUAGAGAUGUGGAGGAACACCAGUGGCGAAGGCGGCUUUCUGGUCUGUAACUGACGCUGAGGCGCGAAAGCGUGGGGAGCAAACAGG
rnacentral:rRNA from 1 species